rnacentral:rRNA from 1 species
CCUACGGGAGGCAGCAGUGGGGAAUAUUGGGCAAUGGGCGAAAGCCUGACCCAGCAACGCCGCGUGAAGGAAGAAGGCUUUCGGGUUGUAAACUUCUUUUGACAGGGAAGAGCAGAAGACGGUACCUGUCGAAUCAGCCACGGCUCACUACGUGCCAGCAGCCGCGGUAAUACGUAGGUGGCAAGCGUGUUCCGGAUUUACUGGGGGUAAAGGGCGUGUAGCCGGGCUGACAAGUCAGAUGUGAAAUCCGGGGGCUCAACCCCCGAACUGCAUUUGAAACUGUUGGGCUUGAGUAUCGGGGAGGCAGGCCGAAUUCCUAGUGUAGCCGUUAAAUGCGUAGAUAUUAGGAGGAACACCAGUGGCGAAGGCGGCCUGCUGGACGACAACUGACGGUGAGGCGCGAAAGCGCGGGGAGCAAACAGGAUUAGAUACCCGAGUAGUC